rnacentral:tRNA from 1 species
GCCGGGAUAGCUCANUUGGUAGAGCAGAGGACUGAAAAUCCUCGUGUCACCNGUUCAAAUA